CGCGGCCUAUCAGCUUGUUGGUACGGUAAUGGCGUACCAAGGCAAUGACGGGUAGCGGGUGUGAGAGCAUGACCCGCCUCACUGGGACUGAGACACUGCCCAGACUCCUACGGGAGGCUGCAGUCAAGAAUCUUCCGCAAUGGGCGAAAGCCUGACGGAGCGACACCGCGUGGAGGACGAAGGCCUUUUGGUUGUAAACUCCUUUUCUGGGGGAAUAAAUGAUGAAGGUACCCCAGGAAUAAGCACCGGCUAACUACGUGCCAGCAGCCGCGGUAAUACGUAGGGUGCAAGCGUUAUCCGGAAUCAUUGGGCGUAAAGCGUUCGUAGGUGGCUAAGUAAGUUUGUAGUUAAAUCUGGUCGCUCAACGAUCAGUUUGUUACGAAAACUGCUUGGCUAGAGAUUGGCAGAGGCAACUGGAAUUCCACAUGUAGGGGUAAAAUCCGUUGAUAUGUGGAGGAACACCAAAAGCGAAGGCAGGUUGCUGGGCCAUUUCUGACACUGAGGAACGAAAGCGUGGGGAGCAAACAGGAUUAGAUACCCUGGUAGUCCACGCCGUAAACGAUGGAUACUCGAUGUAGGGAGGAAUCGACCCCUCUCUGUGUCCAAGCUAACGCGUUAAGUACCCCGCCUGGGGAGUACGG
rnacentral:rRNA from 1 species